GACUAGUAAGUAGUCCUAUCUAAAAUUAAUCUAUCUAUAAUUAUAUUAAUUAAAUAGUCUGCUCUAUAAUAUAUUUUGGAAAAGUAGAAGAGUUAUCUUCAGGGCAUUUUGGUGCAUCCCAUGAUAAGUAUCAUUUAAAAUUGUUUGACAGCUAGAUUUAGAUAAGCAUAUCUGAAUCGCUAUCAAUAACGUAUCCAGCCAUGUCUAUUUUUAUUUACAUUUUCUCAGUCCAUUACAAGACGUCACUUCCGCUUUCGGCCAUUGAAGCU